UUCGUGUCUCCUGGCUAGUAAGUACUGAGGGCUUCAUCUAUCUAAAAGGAGUAAUUUCCAUCUGAAUGUGACAGCACCGGGACACAGCAGCAGAGCGAGUCCACAUCCAGAAGACUGGAGCCGUGUUUCACUGACAGGCUGUCAGACUAAAGCCCUGAUGAGCUCAGCUGGGACAAACUGGUCUGAUGUUUAGGUAAGUGAAGAUCUGCUUCUCCAAGUCCUUGAGAUGCUAGUAAAAAUAAUUUAGCCAGCUUGCUAAUGUUACUUUUCUUCUCCUCUAAGGAACACAGAACGCUCGGAUGUGGGAGCUCACGUCACCUACUGAAGAAGGAGACCCACCAGUAAAGAGACGGUCUGGACCAGACCAAAAAUAUGGCGAUUACAUCAUGGAACUGGUCUUUGGAAAAGUUUUCCCUGAACCAACUCCGUUUCUAGAUGAGGUAGAGAAGAUCUGCAUCUCACCAACCCUCUGGUCUCAGUAUUCAGACAACGGAGGUCUCCCACUGUUAUCCAGGACCAGUUUGAAGCCCACAUACUGCCCCUCCCUCAUCAUCAGGAAACAUCAAUCCGUAUCCUGAGGACAACAGAAGACGGCAGGAGGACAGGAACUCUGAGACCUAGAUACCACAGCACCGGGACACAAAGCACCUGUGUGCACAACGCCUGUUUAACUACUAAAGCCUGUUUAUUAUAUUGUUCUACUUAUUUGCUGUGAGGUUAAUACUUAGAAAAUUUGUAUAUUAAUGUAAACAAUUAAAAAAAUCACUGAUUGUA